GACGAACGCUGGCGGCGUGCUUAACACAUGCAAGUCGAACGAUGUGGCGAACGGGUGAGUAAUACGUGGGUAACCUGCCCUCCUUUUUGGGAUAAGCCUUGGAAACGGGGUCUAAUACCGAAUAAAGGGGGAUGGGCUCGCGGCCUAUCAGCUGGUUGGUGGGGUGAUGGCCUACCAAGGCGGUGACGGGUACCCGGCCUGAGAGGGUGACUGGCCACAGGGGGAAGGAGAGACUGCCCAGAGUCGUACGAGUGGGGGCAGUGGGGGAAAUGGCGCAAUGGGGGAGGGGCUAAUGCAGCGACGCCGCGUGGGGGAUGAAGUCUUUCGGGUUGUAAACUUAGGGCGCAAGCGAACGGGUAGGGGGAGAAGAAGCGCCGGCUAACUACGUGCCAGCAGCCGCGGUAAUUC
rnacentral:rRNA from 1 species